GACAGGGAUACUGGAGUGAUGGAGGUAGAUAUUUAUAGGGGGAAGGGGACAGGGAUACUGGAGUGAUGGAGGUAUAUAUGUAUAGGGGGAAGGAGACAGGGAUACUGGAGUGAUGGAGGUAGAUAUGUAUAGGGGUAAGGUGACAGGGAUACUGGAGUGAUGGAGGUAGAUAUGUAUAGGGGUACGGUGACAGGGAUACUGGAGUGAUGGAGGUAGAUAUGUAUAGGGGGAAGGGGACAGGGAUACUGGAGUGAUGGAGGUAGAUAUGUAUAGGGGUAAGGUGACAGGGAUACUGGAGUGAUGGAGGUAGAUAUGUAUAGGGGGAAGGAGACAGGGAUACUGGAGUGAUGGAGGUAGAUAUGUAUAGGGGGAAGGUGACAGGGAUACUGGAGUGAUGGAGGUAGAUAUGUAUAGGGAUAAGGUAACAGGGAUACUGGAGUGAUGGCGGUAGAUAUGUAUAGGGGGAAGGAGACAGGGAUACUGGAGUGAUGGAGGUAGAUAUGUAUAGGGGUAAGGUAACAGGGAUACUGGAGUGAUGGAGGUAGAUAUGUAUAGGGGUAAGGUGACAGGGAUACUGGAGUGAUGGAGGUAGAUAUGUAUAGGGGUAAGGUAACAGGGAUACUGGAGUGAUGGAGGUAGAUAUGUAUAGGGGGAAGGAGACAGGGAUACUGGAGUGAUGGAGGUAGAUAUGUAUAGGGGUAAGGUGACAGGGAUACUGGAGUGAUGGAGGUAGAUAUGUAUAGGGGUACGGUGACAGGGAUAGCGGAGUGAUGGAGGUAGAUAUGUAUAGGGGUAAGGUGACAGGGAUACUGGAGUGAUGGAGGUAGAUAUGUAUAGGGGGAAGGUGACAGAGAUACUGGAGUGAUGGAGGUAGAUAUGUAUAGGGGUAAGGUGACAGGGAUACUGGAGUGAUGGAGGUAGAUAUGUAUAGGGGUAAGGUGACAGGAAUACUGGAGUGAUGGAGGUAGAUAUGUAUAGGGGUAAGGUGACAGGGAUAGCGGAGUGAUGGAGGUAGAUAUGUAUAGGGGUAAGGUGACAGGGAUACUGGAGUGAUGGAGGUAGAUAUGUACAGAGAGACAGGGAUACAGGGAUACUGGAGUGAUGGAGGUAGAUAUGUAUAGGGGGAAGGUGACAGGGAUACUGGAGUGAUGGAGGUAGAUAUGUAUAGGGGGAAGGAGACAGGGAUACUGGAGUGAUGGAGGUAGAUAUGUAUAGGGGGAAGGUGACAGGGAUACUGGAGUGAUGGAGGUAGAUAUGUAUAGGGGUAAGGAGACAGGGAUACUGGAGUGAUGGAGGUAGAUAUGUAUAGAGGGAAGGAGACAGGGAUACUGUAGUGAUGGAGGUAGAUAUGUAUAGGGGUAAGGUGACAGGGAUACUGGAGUGAUGGAGGUAGAUAUGUAUAGGGGUAAGGUAACAGGGAUACUGGAGUGAUGGAGGUAGAUAUGUAUAGGGGUACGGUGACAGGGAUACUGGAGUGAUGGAGGUAGAUAUGUAUAGGGGGAAGGGGACAGGGAUACUGGAGUGAUGGAGGUAGAUAUGUAUAGGGGUAAGGUGACAGGGAUACUGGAGUGAUGGAGGUAGAUAUGUAUAGGGGGAAGGAGACAGGGAUACUGGAGUGAUGGAGGUAGAUAUGUAUAGGGGUAAGGUGACAGGGAUACUGGAGUGAUGGAGGUAGAUAUGUAUAGGGGUAAGGAGACAGGGAUACUGGAGUGAUGGAGGUAGAUAUGUAUAGGGGUAAGGUGACAGGGAUACUGGAGUGAUGGAGGUAGAUAUGUAUAGGGGUAAGGAGACAGGGAUACUGGAGUGAUGGAGGUAGAUAUGUAUAGGGGUAAGGUGACAGGGAUAGCGGAGUGAUGGAGGUAGAUAUGUAUAGGGGUAAGGAGACAGGGAUACUGGAGUGAUGGAGGUAGAUAUGUAUAGGGGGAAGGAGACAGGGAUACUGGAGUGAUGGAGGUAGAUAUGUAUAGGGGUAAGGUGACAGGGAUACUGGAGUGAUGGAGGUAGAUAUGUAUAGGGGGAAGGUGACAGGGAUACUGGAGUGAUGGAGGUAGAUAUGUAUAGGGGGAAGGAGACAGGGAUACUGGAGUGAUGGAGGUAGAUAUGUAUAGGGGUAAGGUGACAGGGAUACUGGAGUGAUGGAGGUAGAUAUGUAUAGGGGAAGGAGACAGGGAUACUGGAGUGAUGGAGGUAGAUAUGUAUAGGGGUA